rnacentral:lncRNA from 1 species
UGACUAACCCAAUCCCCAAAUAUGACCCUAAUAUUAGAAAACCCUAGUCUUAUCCCCAUCCCAACCCAAAUGGCGCUCCAUCUUCAUCUCUUUCAUUUGUCGCGCCCAACAUCACCAGAACUCACCUCUGCCUCGCCCGAAUUCGCCCGAGUUCACCCCAAAAACUCACCUCACGUGCUCCAACCUCUCUCCUAUAGCCACGUAGCAACCAACUCUGACAACAAGAAGAUUCCUUCCAGAUAUUUUACGCGCCUUCAGCUUCUCGAUUGAUUUGCUAGAUGAAUGGGGUCGUGGAUGUAUGAAAAUCAAUCUAUACCCUCCAUUUGUCCCAAAAAUCGUUCACAAGGAAUAAGGGAUUUUUCGAAUUUGAGGAGAAGAUUCGAGAAUUUUUUAGAGGUGAUAUAAGGUGAGGAUGUUCUUGUUUGGGUUGGGGGGGGGGGUUCUUCUUUUUUGGGGGAUUUUUGAGAGAUUUCUUUAAGAGAAAUUGAAGGAAGAAAAUUAGGGUUCAAAACUUUCUUCUUCUUUUCCAUUGUUCUUCUUCAUUUUCUUAUACCAUAACAGAGAAAAAAAUAUUAUUGAGGUUCCAUGAUUUCACUUGGUGUCAGUUUAUUUAGCAUUUCGAAAUAAUAGAGUUUUUUUACUUCGAUUCUGAUUUUUGGGCGAACAAUGGAAUUCGUCGAGAAGUGUGAAUCUGUUGCUUUUUAUUGAGCUGUAGUUGUCCUCUUUGGUUCUGUGGUGCUUUUAUUCUUCAGAAACCAGAGAUUCAUUUUCCUUUUCCUUUUGCUGUGUUGCUCACGAGGUAUGAAACUUCGAUAUUUUGUAUCGAAUGUAUUAAGAAUGUUACAGCUUUGAGAACUUGCAUCUAUGGCAUGUUUAGUGGUUAAUGAAUCUAUCUUGUCGUGGUUUUCCGUCUCUGAGUUCGAAUGAAUAUCUAUUUUUGUUCAAACGGAUAUAUGUUGUGAUUGCAUAGUUCACCUGAAUUAUGUCCUGUUACUAAUGAAUUUGAUUAGUUUUUGAUGUCUCUGCAAAGCUUUCUUGCUAAUGUUGUUUGAAUUGCACUGCCAUAUACGGCCUAUGCAUAUCUUUAGGUUUAAAUGAAUCCAAUCCAUGCUAUGUUGCAGCUGUAGGUCUGUUCUUAUUUGCAAAGGUUUGAAUGUCGAUUCAUGUUUGAGCUAACUCUAAAUGAUGUCUGAAAUGCUGUUUGCCUUUCUAGGUUCGAGAUGCAUUUUUGCGUCUGAAUCGUAUGCUCCUGUUUGCCUUUCUAGGUUCGAGAUGCAUUUUUGCGUCUGAAUCGUAUGCUCCUGUUGGCUCAUUAUGCUGAAAUUUGUCUCAAAACUAGAUUUGUUGUGCAGUGUAUUAUGUUUGCUCCUGUGAAAUCAGCGAUUCCUGCCCCAAAUGAUGCCUAUGUGAGGUUUGUUGAAAGCUGUUGUUGUUGAGCUUGGCUAUAGUUUGUGGAUUUGGCCACUGAUUGGCCAAAAUCAACAAGUAUUAAGUCAAAAUGGACAUGUCGUUGGUGCUGUAUUAGAGGUUGAUAUUUCUAUUGUGGUGGAUUAAAGCUUGGGUGAAUAGACUAUAUUCACUUUGGCAAGUAUUCACCAAUACAUCAUUUUCAUGAGGAAUUAUAAUAGUAGUAGUUAGUUUCGUCUUUUGAAGUUUGGAUUUGACUUUAUUUUUGGAUUUCCAGGUUAUUCCUCUAUUGAUUAGCCACUGUUCUUCUACAUGAUCUGUUUCUUUUUAACUUAACUCGAAGCCUAUUCUUAUUGGUUGGAUAUUGGUAGUUAGAUUUUGUUGCUUAACACAAAUCUGCAUGAAUCAUGUAUUGACUGUUUGUCAUUUUGUCCAGAUUUUUCAUAGAUUAGAAUCAUGAUUUGGGUAGUUAUGUUUCAAUGUGGUAAAUAUGUUAAUUUGGUCUUAUGCUC